UACGGAGGAUCCGAGCGUUAUCCGGAUUUAUUGGGUUUAAAGGGUGCGUAGGCGGUUUGAUAAGUUAGAGGUGAAAUGUCGGGGCUCAACCCCGAAACUGCCUCUAAUACUGUUGGACUAGAGAAUAGUUGCGGUAGGCGGAAUGUAUGGUGUAGCGGUGAAAUGCGUAGAUAUCAGGAGGAACACCAGUGGCGAAGGCGGCUUACUGGACUGUAACUGACGUUGAGGCUCGAAAGCGUGGGGAGCAAACAGG
rnacentral:rRNA from 1 species